rnacentral:rRNA from 1 species
GUCAGCAGCCGCGGUAACACCGGCGGCCCGAGUGGUGAUCGUGAUUAUUGGGUCUAAAGGGUCCGUAGCCGGUUUGGUCAGUCCUCCGGGAAAUCUGAUAGCUCAACUAUUAGGCUUUCGGGGGAUACUGCCAGACUUGGAACCGGGAGAGGUAAGAGGUACUACAGGGGUAGGAGUGAAAUCUUGUAAUCCCUGUGGGACCACCUGUGGCGAAGGCGUCUUACCAGAACGGGUUCGACGGUGAGGGACGAAAGCUGGGGGCACGAACCGGAUUAGAUACCCGGGUAGUCCCAGCCGUAAACGAUGCUCGCUAGGUGUCAGGCAUGGCGCGACCGUGUCUGGUGCCGCAGGGAAGCCGUGAAGCGAGCCACCUGGGAAGUACGGCCGCAAGGCUGAAACUUAAAGGAAUUGGCGGGGGAGCACAACAACGGGUGGAAGCCUGCGGUUUAAUUGGACUCAACGCCGGACAACUCACCGGGGGCGACAGCAAUACGUAGGCCAAGCUGAAGACUUUGCCUGAAUCGCUGAGAAGUGGUGCAUGG